rnacentral:rRNA from 1 species
GAUGAACGCUGGCGGCGUGCUUAACACAUGCAAGUCGAACGAAGCACUUUGAAAGCUUGCUUUUAAAGUGACUGAGUGGCGGACGGGUGAGUAACGCGUGGGUAACCUGCCUCACACAGGGGGAUAACAGUUAGAAAUGACUGCUAAUACCGCAUAGGCCCCCGGUACCGCAUGGUAAAGAGGGAAAAGAUUUAUGGGUGUGAGAUGGAGCCGCGUCUGAGUUGCUAGUUGGUGGGGUAACGGCCUACCAAGGCGACGACCAGUAGCCGACCUGAGAGGGUGACCGGCCACAUUGGGACUGAGACACGGCCCAAACUCCUACGGGAGGCAGCAGUGGGGAAUAUUGCACAAUGGGCGCAAGCCUGAUGCAGCGACGCCGCGUGAGUGAAGAAGUAUUUCGGUAUGUAAAGCUCUAUCAGCAGGGAAGAUAAUGACAGUACCUGACUAAGAAGCUCCGGCUAAAUACGUGCCAGCCGCCGCAGUAAUAC